UGACCUUCAGCCUGUAGAUUUAGCAGUUGUUGAAAAGCAAAAAUCAAUCCAGUUCCUAUUUUGUUCCCAAGCUGCUAACAAUAAGGCCUGGUAAACCUUUUUCUGGCUGACAAUUAUUCCAAACCAGCUUUUCCCCUACGCUGGCUGGCAGAAGCAGGGAGGCAGCUGGGGCUCCCUUGAUUGCCAGAGCAAGGAGGGCUCUGGGGCAAAUGGAGCUCUUGGGUACAUUUCCCUCCUGGGCUGGGCUGCUUUUCUGUUUCUCCUCUUAUUGUCAUUGAGUGCCUGUUUACUUUGGUCUUGAUAUGCUUCUCUUAACAAACUUGGAACUCCUUCCACAGCACAGAGGUAAAUAAAUCUUCCUUCCCUCCUUCCUUCCUUUCAAGACAUUGAAAGCACGAGUGGGGGAGGGGCAGAGAGAGAAGGAGACAAAAUUCCAAGCUGAUUCCAUGCUGUGGGUGCAGAGCCUGACAUGGGGCUUGGACUCCUGAAACCCUGAGAUCAUGAACUGAGCCGAAAUCAAGAGUGGACGCUUAACCACCUGAGUCACCCAGGAGUCCCUCCACAGAGCAUUUAAAGUCAUCAUCUUGACAAUGACCCUGUGGCCGAGGUGUACGAGCAGCUGAGCUCAAACUGUGCCGGAUCCCACCUAUGGCUCUUUAUGAGUUUCUAGAUGCCUGCUGGAAUUCUAGCCAUCGUGCCCAUGUCCCAUGCUGGAAGAAGGAAGAAAGGGUCAAAGGUAAAAGGGAGCAUGCCAGAUGAAUCAGCAUUCUCCACCCUUAUCUUUUAAUGAACUUUCCCACAAGCCCCACUUAGUGAUGGAACUUAAAUCUCAUUGUACAGAGUAGUCACAUGGUCGCCCUUAUCUCAGUUGUGGUCAUCACAAUCCAUUGGCAUUUAAGUACAUUUCCAGGGUUGUGUAACCAUCACCAUCAUCCAUUUCCAGAAUAUCAUCUGAAAUAGAAACUAUAAACCCACUAAACAAUCACCUCUCCAUUCCCAUCUCCCCUCAGCCACCAUUAACUUCUAUUUUACUUUCUGUCUGUAUGAAUUUGCAUAUUUUAGGUGCUUCAUAUAAGUGAUCAUACAAUAUUUGUCCUUUUGUGACAUGCUCACUUAACUUAGCAUAAUGUUUUCAAGAUUCAUCCAUAUUGUAGCAUGUGUCAGUAUUUCAUUCCUUUUUAUGGCGGAAUGAUAUUCUGUAGAAUGGGUAUACCACACUUUAUCUAUUUGUCUAUUGAUUGUGGGUUGUGUCUUAGUCUGGUAGGGUUGCUAUAACAAAACACCAAUUUUAGUGACUGGAAAUGCCAGGAUAGUCUAGUUCUGCUAGAAGCCUUCUUCUGGGCUGUAGAAGGAAACUUCUUGCUCUGCCCUCGUAUUAUGGGAGGGGUGAGGGAUCUCUGUGGGGCCUCUUUUUAGAGGGACACUAAUCCUAUUCAUGAGGACUCCACCCUCAUGAUCUAAUCACUUCCCAAAGGUCCCAUCUCUUAAUACUAUCACAUUGGGCAUUGGGAUUUCAACAUGUGGUUAGGGAGACACAGGCAUUGAGACCAUUGAGGCUGCUUCUAGCAUGUGGCUGUUUUAAAUAAUGCUGUUAUGAACAUUAGUAUAUAUGGGUAUCUGUUUGAGUUCCUGCUUUCAAUUCUUCUAGGUAGGCACCUAGGACUUGCUGGAUCACGUGGUAAUUCUAUGUUUAACUUAAAAAAUUUUUUUUAACGUUUACUUAUUUUUGAGACAGAGAGAGACAGAGCAUGAACAGGGGAGGGCAGAGAGAGAGGGAGACACAGAAUCUGAAACGGGCUCCAGGCUCUGAGCUGUCAGCACAGAGCCCAACGCAGGGCUCGAACUCACGGACCAUGAGAUCAUGACCUGAGCUGAAGUCGGACGCUUAACCGACUGAGCCACCCAGGCACCCCUAUGUUUAACUUUUAAAAUGAGGAGCCCACAAAUGCAUUUUGCAUUUUGUAUUUUAUUUAGUUUUUAUAAACUUGCAAUUGUUGAAACCACACAUUGAAAUUCUGAUAGAGAGGAGCCUCAUACUCUGGAUCCAGCCAGUUAAUGCUGCCCACUGAGCAGGGUACUUCUGAGUAACUUACGCUAAAGUGAGCUGGAUGGAAUAAUCUCCAUUUUGGAAAUGGGAAACAAAUAAGAAAGGGUAAGCCACUCUUCUCUUGGUAAUGAGAGCUCCACUAACUUUCCCUAGCUCUGCCCCUAGGAAGCUUCACCAAGUGCUUGUGGGCAGCCUUAAUGGGUUUAUACUAGAUUCCCUUGAUCCAGGAUGAACUUGUGAACACCACACAGUGGAGUUCCAGGCGGGAACUAUUUCUACCCCGAUGCUUGACCUCAAGCCAACCUGUCACAAAUUUAUCAAGGAGAGGGAAGAUGAACUUAGUUCAUUGCAUGAUCCAGUAAUAGUUCUAAACAUGCACUAGUAUAGUGGGUAAGGAUAUGGCCUCAAGGCUAGAUGGCUUAUGUUCAGAUCCCAGUUCUACAAUCCAUUGGUUGUGUGAUCUUCACUAUAGUUAUUUAACUUCUCUGUGCCUCAGCUUCCUCAUAUGUAAACUGAGGAUUAAUAAUAGUGCUUUGCUUUUGCAUAUGAUUGUUGUGAGGGUCACCUGAGUUAACACAGUUAAGAAGUAUUUUAGAAAGAUGCCUGAACUCUGGAAAGGCUCUGUGAGUGGCAGAAACUUUAGCAGUAUUGACAUGAUUAUACCCAGGAAGUAUAAAUUCUAUAAACCAUAAUAGUUAUUAGCAAACUAACUAUAGAUCACCACUGUAUCACUGGUCAUGAAGAAAAAAAAAAAGAACAAAAUUAGGAGGACACACAUGAACAAAGCAUAGAGAGUCACAGCUAGAUGGGUUGAAAAAGUCUUCACUGUGUUUGGUCUGAUGUUACAAGCCUGGAAAAUGCUAACAACCACUUGGUCUCUUAAAUUUGUUUCUCACUUCCAAAUUGGAGAUAAUUGCAUCAUUGCAAAGAUUUACUGAGGCAAAGAUAGGGCUUUAUAAGUUAUUAUCAGUAAACAAAUAUAAACACUUAAAUUAACAACGUGAAGUAGCCCUUCAGCUACAACUCCCAUUGUCCAAAUGCUUUUGUGUCCAGGGAGGUUGUGGAAAAUAUAGAGUAGGUUCAGAGGCCAAGGUCAGACAUGAGUAAAAGGUGGAGCUUCUAUGUGGUGCACUGGACCCGAUUAGUAUCUGCCCACUGAGGAUGUGGAGAGGAUGAACUGCAUCAGAGUCUGAGGAAUUUGGGCUCAUUUUUAUACACAGGUGAUUUGAAAAUACCAGAAGGAGUUCUUGAAGAAAAUGGUGAAAUCUGAGUCCGCCCCCCCCCCCCCCAUUGAAUAUCCAGUGUACUGGAGAAAGAAGCUGCACACCCAGUGUGCGGUUGUAGCAAAGAUGGGGGAUGGAUCAGAGGCUCUCUAGCCUUGAGGCAGCUUGGUUAUCAGGUCUGAAACAUUCUGUGAUGUAAUCUGCAACGAGGUGUUUAUUUAGCAGUCACCUUGCGCCAUCUAUGGGUCGGGAUGUUUCCUUGCAACUUUGACUGUAAGCCCUUGUGGCACCUUCAGAUACAAUGUGAUUUCAUUUUUGUGAAAGCCUUGUUUCAUUUUUUGGUUUCCUUGUUUUUGUUUUGGAUAGAUUUAACACUUUCUGUGACUAUCAGGAAUCCUCUCUCUGGAACAAGGGAGAAAUUUUGCCUUGAGAUGUAGACAUGCAUGAAGAAGGACCUGGACGUCUGGAUUUCAUUUGGUAAUGUGUUUCGAAUAGCCAGGAAAUCCUCUCCUCUACGUUAAAUGACCAGGACGUCAUUAAAACAAAACAAAAAACAAAAAACCUGUGAGGCUUGCAUUUUCCCACAGUUUUCUGGGAAAGGGGAUGGGCCAGACAUUGGAGUUAUUUCUACUUUCUAUUGUCCCAGCGUUUUUUUCUUAGCGCCAGUUGGUAUAGGGAAGGCCACUGAUGGAACAAAGGAAAGUUCAAGCGUUGUGAAAGGAAGGAAGGCAAGGGAAAUCAGGGAGGACUCUUUGGAGACGAAGUAGGUUCUGGACUUUAGAGGAAAUGAGAGCCACAGGAAAGGAGGAGACCACCUGUCCCCUGUGUCUGCAGUUCAAGACAGCCUCACGUAGAAAGAAAAACUAGUUUCUCACGAAGCUGCCUCAUAUCAAGCUUUUUUCCCCCUUAAGUCUCCAUUUCUAUGGCACCUGCCUGUUUUUGUGCUGAGUUCCCUUGUCCUCUCCCUGGUCCAACCAUGCCAGUGCUCUCUCUUAGUUUCUGGAAAACGUCAUGCUCUCCAUCACUAGGGGCUUUUGCAUCUGCUGCUGCCUCUACUUGAAACCCUCUGUAUCCUGGUAAGUCCUCUUCACCCUAUAGACUUUAGCUUCACAGUCACUUCCUGAAGGAGGCCUUGCCUGAUCCCCUUGGACAUGCAUGCCACAUACUGACUGCAUUCUGACCUCUCCUUUGGAACUAACAUCACUCUUGUAGGCUACAGGUCCAACGGUUGUCUUCUGUAUUGCAAUCAGGAGAUCCUGUCUAUAUCCCCAUUGGCCAAUAAGAGGACACAUGGAGGGAUCAGGAGGGAGAAAUAGCAAAAUUGUACAUGUUCCAUUAUUAAGUUUUCUUUGGAGGUCUAAUUUAUUUUAUUAUUUUGAAAAGUUUUUGUUUUAUUUUUAUUUUAUUUUUUAAUUUUUAUUAUUUUUAGAGAAAUAGAGUACAUACAAGCAGGGGAGAGGGACAAAGGGAAAGAGAGAAUCUCAAGCAGGCUCCAUGCUUGGCAUGGAGCCUGAUGCGGGGCUCAAUGCUAUGACCCUGGGAUUGUGACCUAAGCUGAAAUCAAGAGUUGGGUGUUCAACUGACUGAACCAGGAGGUUUAUUUUAGAAAACAAGCAAAAGGUAAUAAAGUACCCAAUCACCAAUCCAUGGUAGGGUUGGGGGUGAGCAUGUUGUGCGUGCCAUUUUCUCAGCACAGCAAUGGGGCAGGCCCCUGUUUUCUGACUCCCCUCUGGUCCUGUGGGGAGAAGGGGAAACACUCUAGGGUAGAAGUUGUUUUUAUUCCUGUCCUUGAGGAUAGAUGUAGCAUAAUGAUCAUGCAGAGAGGCCUCUAAUUGGAGCAUGAUAAGACCACCAGAUUCAGGAAGGGAGAGAACUUUUCUCCAUCAAUGAAUUGAGAAAAGCCAUUUCCCAGAGUUCAGAGAAGAAUUGGAAAAAUGUCCAUAAUGCAAUCCUUUGAAAUAUGUACUAAAAAUAUGUAAUAAACUGUAAAUCAAUUACAAAGAGGACUGUGCUGGGGCUUGAAUGUAUUGAGCCCAACUGUAGAGCCAAGCAUUUUGAACUGGAGAGAAAUAAGAAGAGAAGGGGCCAAGUGAUCCAGCUCUAUGCUUCUUUUUUGUUUUGUUAUGAAUACAAAUAUGUUAUGAAUGCAAAUGAAUAAAAUCUUGUUAUAUUCAAAAUUAUA